UUUUUUUUUUGGCAAUUUGACCUUAGAAAGAAGAGUUACUAGGCAUAAAGAAGUAUUUGCACACCAUGGGCAAAGCUUUAUCAACUAGCCCUUUACGUAUCAGACAACAUGGGAUUAACACAACAUAGCACAGGGAACCAUACCUAAUCACUUGUUAUGAAACAUGACGGAGGACAAUGUGAAAAAAAAGAAUGUAUAUAAAUCACAGGGUCACUUUGCUAUACAGCAGAAAGUGACAGGGAACACUGUAAAUCAACUAUAAUAAAAAAUUUUUUAAGAAAUUAAUACAGCAGAGAUCAUGCUAAUAUCCCUACACUUAACAUACACGAUCUAUUUAAAAUCUUUUUACUCUUUGGUCCUGAACCAGAGUUCCACAUUUACUAUCUCAAUGGAGGGUAUAUCACUUCUGAAAAUUAACUUUUUAAAAAAACACAACCCAGAGUUUCCAUCAUGGCUCAGGGGAAACAUAUCUGAUCAGCAUCCAUUGAGGACGCCAGUUCGAUCCCUGGCCUUGCUCAAGUUAAGAGAAACCUUCCAAUAAACAAUGAAGCCAAGGUGAAGAAAGGAGUGGGCAAGUCAAACCAAUUAGCACUAAAGGAAUGCAAACACACCAGCAUCAUGCGAUGACUGGAGAUAAAUAUUAGCCAGAAGAUAUGUGUAUUCAAAACUGAAAGUGUGUAACAUCUUAGAGGAAAACAGCAGAGAACAAAAUCAUGAAUUUACAAGUGGGAAGAAAAGAAUUCCUACAAGGAGAAGAACAAAGGCCAAGACAACAUGGGGCAGGUAAUAGGGUGAUUACUGUCACGAGACAGGUUUCUACAGUAUUUUCUUAGCCUCUUUGCUGAAAACUCCAUCGUGUCCUGCUUUACUUUACCCCAUCUUCCUGCUUGAAAAACAGUCACAGUGCUGGUAAAUGACUUAGGUUUAAGAACAAAGACCUAAAGGCAUACGCCAUUCAUAGGGUCAGCUGAAUGAGGACAUAAUGCAUUGGUCCAGGCACGCCGGACCUGUGCAGAUUGGCACUCCGUUUGCACAGCAUGAUAUGUCCUAUAAAGAACAAAAGAAAGAGGAGCCUCAAAGGCACCAAGGGGUUUAUGAGGGGUCGUUAGGAAGAUAUGCAUUAGCGAGGAGAACUGAGGUGCAAACCUAGGCAUGCCUUCUACAGAAGCACAAAGGUGAUUCUCUAGAUGCUAUGCAUAGAUAGUUGACGCCAAGCUUCAUCAAAUGCUAAUGACUGUUAAAUGCCUAAAGGUCAGAAUAAAAGCUUAAUCAGCAACCGGCUAUGUGACUUUUAAAAUAACUUUAAAAAAAACCCCUAUAUCCUGCACCUACAACCCUCUCCUCACUUGACGUCAUCUCAAGAGCACAAUCAAGGCAGUGUGGUUCCUUGAGGCAGCGCUCUUGGUCCCUGAGACCUUGAGUCCCCCGGUUCCCACCUUUACUUAAGAUAAAUGUCUCUGUGUCUUGUUUUAUGUUAACUUUUUCCCUUAAGUUUCACAAUACCCGUUCUUCAGCCCCAUCCUGCUGAGCUGGUCUCGGCAAUUACCAGACAAAUUAGGAGAAAUGAGUUCUAACCUCUCUUCUUUGUCCACCCAACUGGUUUCCUUCUGAAUGUUUCUUAAAUUUUCUGAGCCUCAGAGUCUUCAUCUGUUAUCUGAACAGGGAAGUAUGAAAUGAUACCCAAAAGUCUCUUGCAGCUUGGAGAGUAGACCAGUAGUUUCUGUUUAGAUGACAGGUACUUUUGUUUUUAAAUCAGCUACUUUUAUUGCAUAGUGGACUUCAAGUGCACAGUUGAGUUUCACAGAACGGAACCAAAUUUGUCAGCAUUCACAGGGAGUCCAACCCUGGAGACCAAGGCCUCGGAAAUGAGUACUAACAGCUGGACAGUUCGAACAUUACCUGAGCCACAACGUCUACCUUGGCCAGGAUCUCUUUGCCUCUGCCCUCCCCCGCACUUUCCAGCUGGAGCACCUCUUCACUCAGCCCCAAAGCUGAAUCUUGCCAAAUGUAAGUUAAACACACAUUUAUAUAAAAGUGAGUACAGCUCAUUUAGUGUCCUAGGCCAUGAAAACGUAUGGUGGCAGCCCCUGACCUUGAGAACAGAACCAUGGAUAAUAAUAACCGGUGUUCUAAUGGAACACUGCCCUGUUAGAACAAGGAGUCCAAUAAUUCCACUCUUCCUAAUCUUCAUAAAAGAAUCUGAAAUGUGAACAAAUAUUUAUACUCACAAUUAUCUCACAGUAUCACUUAUGACAGCAAAUUAAUCUGCUACAAGCUAGAUCUGCAACAAUCAAAGGAUGAUUAUGUAAAUGGUACCUUGAGUUAGGCUCUCCUCCUAUACACUCCACAGCCCUGUGACAGGACUCAAACUGCUUGCUUAUGGACAAUCUCUUCACCAGAUUUAAGGUCCUAGAGGCAACCCCUAUGUUUAUAGCAGCACUACUCAUUAAUAGCCAAGACAUGGAAGCAACCUAAACUCCAUGAUCAGAGGAAUGGAUAAGAUGUAGUACAUACACACAAUGGAAUCCUACUCAGCCCUAAAAAAUAAUGACAUAAUGCCAUUUGUAGCAACAUGGAUGGAUCUAGAGAUUGUCAUACUAAGUGAAAUAAGUCAGAAAAAGACAAUUAUCAUAUGAUAUCACUUAUAUGUGGAAUCUAAAAUAUGACUCAAAUGAACUCAUCUAUGAAACAGAAACAGACUCCCAGACACAGAGAACAGACUUGAGGUUGCCAAGGGGGAAGCAGGGAGGGGAGGGAGGGAUGGAUUGGGAGUUUGGGGUUAGCAGAGGCAAAGUAUUCUAUGUGGACUGGAUAAACAACAAGGUCCUACUAUACAGCACAAGAAACUAUAUUCAGUAUCCCGUGAUAAACCAUAAAGGAAAAGAACAUGAAAAAGAAUAUGUAUGCAUAACUGAAUUACUUCGCUACAUAGCAAAAAUUAAUACUUCAAAUCAACUAUACUUCAAUAAAAUAAAUAUUUUAAAAAACAUCCUGGAGGCAAAGACCAAGUUUUGUUCACCACCUUAGCCAUGAAGUCUGUCUCACGGUGAGGAGAGAAUAAUGUUGCGAGCAAAGGCUUCCAUGUCAUUUCUGUCUGAUGGAGUAUCACGCAACUGUUAAAUGGGAUCUG
rnacentral:lncRNA from 1 species